AUCACAGACAGAACCCGAAGUCUUUUGGUUGACGUAGCUUCAUCUCCAGAGCACCUUCCCUUAAUUUAAUGCUCAAAUGACGGGGCUUCAAGAGCCGUGAUCUGCCACGGAGCACUUCCCUCAGCCUCUAGAAUUUCCAGCAAUUCUCCGUUCUCAUUUUCAGCGGCACCAGCGGCGUUGCGUUCCCGACAAUUGCAUUGAUAUCCUGCUCCCCGGUUUUCUUCCCUUCCGGCGAGGUAUCUGAGAAUUACGUUUUCAGUAGAUAUGGUGUCAUCAAGAAGCAUGGCUCAAACAACGUCAUCGUUUUCAUCUUCUUCCCCUUCAUCUUCAUCAUCAUCAUUGUUACCAACCAACCUCCCUCUUUUCUCUGCCUUCCUUGCCUGUGCUCUUGCUCAGUUCCUUAAGCUCUUCACAAACUGGUUUAAAGAAAAGAGAUGGGAUUCUAAAAGGAUGCUUGAUUCUGGUGGAAUGCCAUCUUCACAUUCUGCCACUGUGACAGCUCUAGCAAUGGCUAUAGGUCUACAAGAAGGAACAGGAUCACCAGCAUUUGCAAUUGCAGUUGUAUUGGCCUGUGUUGUGAUGUAUGAUGCCUCAGGGGUCAGACUUCAUGCUGGUCGGCAAGCUGAAUUGCUAAAUCAAAUUGUGUGCGAGUUUCCUCCAGAACAUCCAUUAUCCAGUGUUAGACCUUUGCGUGAAUUACUUGGCCACACUCCGCUUCAGGUGGUUGUUGGAGCUUUGUUGGGAUUCAUUGUAGCUUACCUGAUGAGAAACACAGACUAGUGUUUUGUGGCAUAAUAUUAUUUGGUCACUAGUAGGUGACUGGAAGCUAUGCCUGCCUGGACUCCAUGGAUUUGGUGGAAUACAUCAUGGGUUUCCAGAAUACUUAAUUUCCACUGAAUGAACAGUUCUUCCUGAUCGAAUUUAGUAGAACAAAUGAAUAAAACAUCUGUCCAGCAUGGACACUUCUCCUAACUGUUUG
rnacentral:misc_RNA from 1 species